UUAAGUUCAGCGGGUAUUCCUACCUGAUCCGAGGUCAACCUUGAGAAGUAGGGGGUUUUACGGCGUGGUCAGACUGCUAUCCCGCUGCGAGGUAUCGCUACUGCACAGGGGAGGUCGCGGAGGGACCGCCACUAGAUUUAGGGGCUGGCUAGCUGCCAAUCCCCAACGCCAGAUCCCGCAAGGGGUUCUGAGGGUUGAAA
rnacentral:misc_RNA from 1 species